AGUGAACGCUGGCGGUAGGCCUAACACAUGCAAGUCGAACGGCAGCACAGUAAGAGCUUGCUCUUACGGGUGGCGAGUGGCGGACGGGUGAGGAAUACAUCGGCAUCUACUUUUUCGUGGGGGAUAACGUAGGGAAACUUACGCUAAUACCGCAUACGACCUACGGGUGAAAGCAGGGGAUCUUCGGACCUUGCGCGAUUGAAUGAGCCGAUGUCGGAUUAGCUAGUUGGCGGGGUAAAGGCCCACCAAGGCGACGAUCCGUAGCUGGUCUGAGAGGAUGAUCAGCCACACUGGAACUGAGACACGGUCCAGACUCCUACGGGAGGCAGCAGUGGGGAAUAUUGGGCAAUGGGCGCAAGCCUGAUCCAGCCAUACCGCGUGGGUGAAGAAGGCCUUCGGGUUGUAAAGCCCUGUUGUUGGGAAAGAAAAGCAGCAGGUUAAUACCCCGCUGUUCUGACGGUACCCAAAGAAUAAGCACCGGCUAACUUCGUG
rnacentral:rRNA from 1 species